ACUACGGGUGGCAGCAGUGAGGAAUAUUGGACAAUGGACGCAAGUCUGAACCAGCCAUGCCGCGUGCAGGAAGACGGCUCUAGGAGUUGUAAACUGCUUUUGUACGAGGGUAAACGAAGAUACGAGUAACUGUCUGAAAGUAUCGUACGAAUAAGGAUAGGCUAACUCCGUGCCAGCAGCCGCGGUAAUACGGAGGAUUCAAGCGUUAUCCGGAUUUAUUGGGUUUAAAGGGUGCGUAGGCGGUCGGAUAAGUUAGAGGUGAAAUCCCGGGGCUCAACUUCGGAAUUGCCUCUGAUACUGUUCGGCUAGAGAGUAGUUGCGGUAGGCGGAAUGUAUGGUGUAGCGGUGAAAUGCUUAGAAAUCAUACAGAACACCGGUUGCGAAGGCAGCUUAC
rnacentral:rRNA from 1 species